UAAUUAGCCAGCUAGCUACAUUUAAAACUUGGGUGAAAAUCUGGAUCUCUGUCCUAUCUGGAAAUAUCCAGAAGUUCUGACAAUACCAGGGCUCCAUGCUGUAAGGCAGAGAUCAGCUGGAGCUUUGUCAUUGCCAUUCUCUUUAGGCUGACACACUCUCUCCAGUUUAUUGGAGUCCCAUCUUCUCUGAGUUGGAUGCAGAGGGGAAUGUCAGUUCUCACGUUCAUCACAGUUGUGCUGUUUUUCUUUCUGGAGAACCCUGGAGUUCCAGUGGUGUUAUAGGAAUCAUUGCAGAACAGGAAGAGAUCAGAUGGGCUGGGUUUCAACAGAGCAACUUUGCUGUUACCUGCUGUAGAUAUUCAUCUUCUGGAUAAAAGGUCAAGUGAUAAGAAACUUCUA